GUGUGUGAAGCUCCGGACGAGAAGAAGAAGAAAGAAGAAAAGUUGAGUGAAAAUUCCUUUUUUCCCUCCACCAACAAUGUGGGAAGUGGAAGUGGAAGGCGCCAAAACAAGGGUUCACCCCCCCUUCCCCUGCUGCCUGGAGCGCACUGAUUGUGCCCCUGCAACAGAGCGGGAUGCCGCUUUUCUUCCAGGUAACACGCGCAGCGCGGAUGCUAAAAACGGAAAAUCAGGAGCCCGUGAUUCAAAACAACCGCACUUGAAAACGCUCAACUCUCAACCUCGCUUGUGUGUGUUGUGUGUGUGUGUGUGUGUUGAGUGUUUCUAUAGUAGAAGAGAGAGCGCGUACCGCAUUUUCUUUCGUCGGUUUUGAAAAAGGAUUAAAGGCACUUGACAGAGCGGCAAGACUGCAAAUGUGAUUCGCGAUCGACACUCGAUUAUUUUGCAACAAUAUUGUGUGUAUUGAAAGUGCAGUGAAAAGCAGUGCCAUGCGGUGAGGUUCAAAGGAAGUGUCACACUCAAUCAAUAAUAA